AUUGUUAUCCUCCAAGGCCCAGAAACACAUACCUUACCUUUCCCCCGUUUUGACACUUUACGUUUUAAACAUAGCCCCAUAGACUUGCCACAUGUCCCUUAUUAUUAUUAUUUUUUUUUUCUCAUUCUGGACAGCGCCACCAACGAGCAUGUUAAUUUUCAGCAAAGAUAUUAUAAUAAAGAACACGUGUGUUAGAACACCUGGAGUCAGGAAUUCGAAGUACUUCAGACUUCUCAAGUUCUACGAAACGUCUGUAGUUGCUACGGAAUUUUGCCUAAUUAUGAACGUUUUACGGAAAUAAACAAAGACACUAAGGAAAUUUAUCUUUACUCAGACCCAGAAAUAUAUAGAGAUUUACCAUUGUUGAAAGUACAGGACAAAGGACAAUGAUUUUUUCAUCAGGACUAUUGGCUAUAUCGUCUCUAUGGACCCUAGACUUCAGACCUGUUGUCAGAUUACUGAUGCAUUAUUGUAAAACCCAAGAAAAGUGCCCCAUAAAUCAUCAGGUGCUACGGAAUGGUUCGUUUACUAGGCCUACGGAAACUAAGAUAUAGCGGAAAUGCAUUUUACUAACUUUAAGUCUGUAACGUUUAAAAUCGCAGUUUGGAUUUAAAUAAGUGUGCAGAAUAUUUACUACGUCAUUUCAUCUCUGUAGAAAUUUGAAGAAACUUGGACAUUGCACCUCCUCUGCAACAAGUCAACCUGCCCUGCUUGGCUGAAUGACUAAUCUUGCUGCCACUGCUGAAUGGUUAUGGCAACUGGUGAUUUGCUAGU